GUGUCAGCCGCCGCGGUAAUACGAACUGUGCGAACGUUAUUCGGAAUCACUGGGCUUACAGGGUGCGUAGGCGGCCUGUUAAGUAGGGUGUGAAAUCCCCCGGCCCAACCGGGGAAUUGCGCUCUAAACUAGCAGGCUUGAGUAAGCUAGGGGUGCACGGAACUUCCAGUGGAGCGGUGAAAUGUGUUGAGAUUGGAAGGAACACCGGAGGCGAAAGCGGUGCACUGGGGCUUAACUGACGCUGAGGGACGAAAGCCAGGGGAGCGAACGGGAGUAGAUACCCCGGUAGUCCUAGCUGUAAACGAUGAGCACUGGGUCGGAGAGUCUUCCAUAACUUUCCGGCCGAAGCGAAAGUGUUAAGUGCUCCGCCUGGGGAGUAUGGUCGCAAGGCUGAAACUCAAAGGAAUUGGCGGGG
rnacentral:rRNA from 1 species